GUAAACCUGAAAAUUACUGUAGAAUUAAAAAUUGAAUGUCCGGUUCACGUCACCCUGAGUAAACUUUUACUCCUAGUUUUAACCAUGAGUAAAGGUUUUGUUGGGAUUAAAAGUUUUACUCAGGAUGACGUGGAUACAUCACAGACGUCCAUUUUUGGAUCCUACGAGAGUUUCCCGGUUUGC
rnacentral:pre_miRNA from 1 species